GGAGAAGUUUGGUGCACAGGGUUUCUUGCAGAGAAACAGAUCCUGUCCUUGAACACACAGCCCCAGCUCACAGAUUUGCAGAGUUGGCUUAGGAAGUGAAACUGAAUUGUCUUCCCCUGGUCCUGCCACUGGUGCUAGAGGUGGAGUCAUGCUGUUAACCACUGCACUGGACUACCCUGCCAUGUGUCACUUUGUCAAGUAACAGCAAACUUUGAAAAAGAGGCAAAAAGAAGAUAAGCUGGAGUUUUCAGCUAUGAAGAAUUUUUUUUUACUAAUAUGUUGUCAAGAUUAAUUCACUAAUAUUAAGUGAGUACUUUCAGAUCAUUGCACUGAAGUUGCACUACAAAAGAAGUAUGUAAUUUGUUUUCUCACAUCUGAAGCCCAUUAUUAGUACAACAAAUAAAGAACAUUUUAAAUGUCA
rnacentral:lncRNA from 1 species